GAUGAACGCUGGCGGCGUGCCUAAUACAUGCAAGUCGAGCGAACAGACGAGGAGCUUGCUCCUCUGACGUUAGCGGCGGACGGGUGAGUAACACGUGGAUAACCUACCUAUAAGACUGGGAUAACUUCGGGAAACCGGAGCUAAUACCGGAUAAUAUAUUGAACCGCAUAGUUCAAUAGUGAAAGACGGUUUUGCUGUCACUUAUAGAUGGAUCCGCGCCGCAUUAGCUAGUUGGUAAGGUAACGGCUUACCAAGGCAACGAUGCGUAGCCGACCUGAGAGGAUGAUCGGCCACACUGGAACUGAGACACGGUCCAGACUCCUACGGGAGGCAGCAGUAGGGAAUCUUCCGCAAUGGGCGAAAGCUUGACGGAGCAACGCCGCGUGAGUGAUGAAGGUCUUCGGAUCGUAAAACUCUGUUAUUAGGGAAGAACAAAUGUGUAAGUAACUAUGCACGUCUUGACGGUACCUAAUCAGAAAGCCACGGCUAACUACGUG
rnacentral:rRNA from 1 species